GAUGAACGCUAGCGGCAGGCUUAACACAUGCAAGUCGAGGGGCAGCAUGAGACGGAGAUUCGUCAAAGUCUUGAUGGCGACCGGCGCAAGGGUGCGUAACGCGUGAGCAACUUGCCCGUUUCUGGGGAAUAACCGGUGGAAACGCCGACUAAUACCCCAUAGUAUUGGUUUUAGGCAUCUUUAACCAAUUAAAGAAUUUCGGAAACGGAUAGGCUCGCGUGACAUUAGCUAGAUGGCGGGGUAACGGCCCACCAUGCCUACGAUGUCUAGGGGUUCUGAGAGGAAGGUCCCCCACACUGGAACUGAGACACGGUCCAGACUCCUACGGGAGGCAGCAGUGAGGAAUAUUGGUCAAUGGACGAAAGUCUGAACCAGCCAAGUAGCGUGAAGGAUGACUGCCCUAUGGGUUGUAAACUUCUUUUGUCGUGGAACAAAACCUGCCACGUGUGGCAGUUUGCGUGUACACGUUGAAUAAGCAUCGGCUAACUCCGUGCCAGCAG
rnacentral:rRNA from 1 species